UUAAGCGACUAAGCGUACACGGUGGAUGCCCUGGCAGUCAGAGGCGAUGAAGGGCGUGCUAAUCUGCGAUAAGCGCCGGUAAGGUGAUAUGAACCGUUAUAACCGGCGAUACCCGAAUGGGGAAACCCAGUGUGAUUCGUCACACUAUCAUUAACUGAAUCCAUAGGUUAAUGAGGCGAACCGGGGGAACUGAAACAUCUAAGUACCCCGAGGAAAAGAAAUCAACCGAGAUUCCCCCAGUAGCGGCGAGCGAACGGGGAGGAGCCCAGAGCCUGAAUCAGCAUGUGUGUUAGUGGAAGCGUCUGGAAAGGCGCGCGAUACAGGGUGACAGCCCCGUACACAAAAGCGCAUGUGCUGUGAGCUCGAUGAGUAGGGCGGGACACGUGGUAUCCUGUCUGAAUAUGGGGGGACCAUCCUCCAAGGCUAAAUACUCCUGACUGACCGAUAGUGAACCAGUACCGUGAGGGAAAGGCGAAAAGAACCCCGGCGAGGGGAGUGAAAAAGAACCUGAAACCGUGUACGUACAAGCAGUGGGAGCACAGGUUUACCUGUGUGACUGCGUACCUUUUGUAUAAUGGGUCAGCGACUUAUAUUCUGUAGCAAGGGUUAACCGAAUAGGGGAGCCGUAGGGAAACCGAGUCUUAACCGGGCGUUAAGUUGCAGGGUAUAGACCCGAAACCCGGUGAUCUAGCCAUGGGCAGGUUGAAGGUUGGGUAACACUAACUGGAGGACCGAACCGACUAAUGUUGAAAAAUUAGCGGAUGACCUGUGGCUGGGGGGUGAAAGGCCAAUCAAACCGGGAGAUAGCUGGUUCUCCCCGAAAGCUAUUUAGGUAGCGCCUCGUGAAUUCAUCUCCGGGGGUAGAGCACUGUUUCGGCUAGGGGGCCAUCCCGGCUUACCAACCCGAUGCAAACUGCGAAUACCGGAGAAUGUUAUCACGGGAGACACACGGCGGGUGCUAACGUCCGUCGUGAAGAGGGAAACAACCCAGACCGCCAGCUAAGGUCCCAAAGUCAUGGUUAAGUGGGAAACGAUGUGGGAAGGCCCAGACAGCCAGGAUGUUGGCUUAGAAGCAGCCAUCAUUUAAAGAAAGCGUAAUAGCUCACUGGUCGAGUCGGCCUGCGCGGAAGAUGUAACGGGGCUAAACCAUGCACCGAAGCUGCGGCAGCGACACUGUGUGUUGUUGGGUAGGGGAGCGUUCUGUAAGCCUGUGAAGGUGUGUCGUGAGGCAUGCUGGAGGUAUCAGAAGUGCGAAUGCUGACAUAAGUAACGAUAAAGCGGGUGAAAAGCCCGCUCGCCGGAAGACCAAGGGUUCCUGUCCAACGUUAAUCGGGGCAGGGUGAGUCGACCCCUAAGGCGAGGCCGAAAGGCGUAGUCGAUGGGAAACAGGUUAAUAUUCCUGUACUUGGUGUUACUGCGAAGGGGGGGACGGAGAAGGCUAUGUUGGCCGGGCGACGGUUGUCCCGGUUUAAGCGUGUAGGUGUGUGUUCCAGGUAAAUCCGGUUCACUUUAACACUGAGGCGUGAUGACGAGGCACUACGGUGCUGAAGCAACAAAUGCCCUGCUUCCAGGAAAAGCCUCUAAGCAUCAGGUAACAUCAAAUCGUACCCCAAACCGACACAGGUGGUCAGGUAGAGAAUACCAAGGCGCUUGAGAGAACUCGGGUGAAGGAACUAGGCAAAAUGGUGCCGUAACUUCGGGAGAAGGCACGCUGACACGUAGGUGAAGUGAUUUACUCAUGGAGCUGAAGUCAGUCGAAGAUACCAGCUGGCUGCAACUGUUUAUUAAAAACACAGCACUGUGCAAACACGAAAGUGGACGUAUACGGUGUGACGCCUGCCCGGUGCCGGAAGGUUAAUUGAUGGGGUCAGCGCAAGCGAAGCUCCUGAUCGAAGCCCCGGUAAACGGCGGCCGUAACUAUAACGGUCCUAAGGUAGCGAAAUUCCUUGUCGGGUAAGUUCCGACCUGCACGAAUGGCGUAAUGAUGGCCAGGCUGUCUCCACCCGAGACUCAGUGAAAUUGAACUCGCUGUGAAGAUGCAGUGUACCCGCGGCAAGACGGAAAGACCCCGUGAACCUUUACUAUAGCUUGACACUGAACAUUGAGCCUUGAUGUGUAGGAUAGGUGGGAGGCUUUGAAGCGUGGACGCCAGUCUGCGUGGAGCCGACCUUGAAAUACCACCCUUUAAUGUUUGAUGUUCUAACGUGGACCCGUAAUCCGGGUUGCGGACAGUGUCUGGUGGGUAGUUUGACUGGGGCGGUCUCCUCCUAAAGAGUAACGGAGGAGCACGAAGGUUGGCUAAUCCUGGUCGGACAUCAGGAGGUUAGUGCAAUGGCAUAAGCCAGCUUGACUGCGAGCGUGACGGCGCGAGCAGGUGCGAAAGCAGGUCAUAGUGAUCCGGUGGUUCUGAAUGGAAGGGCCAUCGCUCAACGGAUAAAAGGUACUCCGGGGAUAACAGGCUGAUACCGCCCAAGAGUUCAUAUCGACGGCGGUGUUUGGCACCUCGAUGUCGGCUCAUCACAUCCUGGGGCUGAAGUAGGUCCCAAGGGUAUGGCUGUUCGCCAUUUAAAGUGGUACGCGAGCUGGGUUUAGAACGUCGUGAGACAGUUCGGUCCCUAUCUGCCGUGGGCGCUGGAGAACUGAGGGGGGCUGCUCCUAGUACGAGAGGACCGGAGUGGACGCAUCACUGGUGUUCGGGUUGUCAUGCCAAUGGCACUGCCCGGUAGCUAAAUGCGGAAGAGAUAAGUGCUGAAAGCAUCUAAGCACGAAACUUGCCCCGAGAUGAGUUCUCCCUGAGACUUAGAGUCUCCUGAAGGAACGUUGAAGACGACGACGUUGAUAGGCCGGGUGUGUAAGCGCAGCGAUGCGUUGAGCUAACCGGUACUAAUGAACCGUGAGGCUUAACCUU
rnacentral:rRNA from 1 species